rfam:Triticum aestivum genome assembly, contig: Triticum_aestivum_CS42_TGACv1_scaffold_000066_1AL
CAAGUGCUUUCUUCAUUCUAAAACAUUUGUCAGAAAAAUAAAUGUAUCUAGACAUAUUUUAGUUCUAGAUACAUCCAUAUUUAUGUACUUUUGUGACAAGUAAUUCCAGAUGAAGGGAGUAUUUG